rnacentral:rRNA from 1 species
AAGCCUGACGCAGCGAUGCCGCGUGUGCGAUGAAGGCCUUUGGGUCGUAAAGCACUGUCAACAGGGACGAACGUAGGUCGGUUAAUAACCGGCGUGCUUGACGGUACCUGUGGAGGAAGCACCGGCUAACUCUGUGCCAGCAGCCGCGGUAAUACAGAGGGUGCAAACGUUGCUCGGAAUGACUGGGCGUAAAGCGCGCGCAGGUGGCCUGCUAAGUCGGCUGUGAAAUCCCAUGGCUCAACCAUGGACGUGCAGUCGAUACUGGCAGGCUCGAGUCCCGGAGAGGGUGGUAGAAUUCCCAGUGUAGAGGUGAAAUUCGUAGAUAUUGGGAGGAAUACCGGUGGCGAAGGCGACCACCUGGACGGGUACUGACACUGAGGCGCGAAAGCGUGGGGAGCAAACAGGAUUAGAUACCCUGGUAGUCCACGCCGUAAACGUUGAGCACUAGUUGUUGUGGGUAUUGACCCCCGCAGUGACGACGCUAACGCAUUAAGUGCUCC